GCUCACUCCGAACGACACGCUCUCCGACUCCACGUCGCACACCAGCGCCUGCGGAGGGCGCAGAGGGCGGGCCGGCGUCACGGGCCGUAACUCGUUCCCGAGACCCGUUCUUAAGUCGAACGGGGAGCUGCCGCUGAAGCGCAUCGGACUUGCAAGCGAGAGGUCGCCGGCUUGAUUCCACCUUCCGGCGCGGCAGUCAGACGCGGAGAGAGGAGAGAUCAUUUCACAUUCAAGCUCGGCAAAGGAUCAGCUCUGCAAGGAAGAGUGCCGCAAAGCUCGGAUGAGGACAGCAAGCCAGCUCCAGGGCAUGGCCUCGAGAUCAACAACGCGUGUGGUGCAUCGCAGAGAAGAGGGGCGAGGUGAUGCUCUGUGCUGCGUUUGGCAUGGACCGACAGAGCAUCGCUAAAAGUUAUACUCAGCAUCAAGCAAUCAACCUCGAGAGAGGGCGGAGAGUGCCAAGCAUCGACCAAGCCAGCAUUGCAGAAAACCAGCUGCACGCGCAAUCGGCACCGCCAGAGAGAGACGGAGCAAGAGAGAGCGCCACCAGCGCCACCGAGCGAGGGUGCCAGCUGCCAGCGGACAAGCAUCGUGCCGACUCGGCUCAUCCAGCAGGGGAAGGAGCCUGACCGGCCGCCCGUGAGCGAGAGUGUCGGCGCCAGCGAGCGCGCCGUGGGUUCGACCCACACGCACACCGAGCGGCACCGGCUGGGAACCAAGACAAGAACGAGGAACUGCAGACAGCGGACGAGCUGCGGGCGCUAUCUGACGACGGAUCAUCGCGCACGACGGGGAGCAUCGUACCGACUCUUCCACCCAGCGGUGGACAGAAACUGUGACCGCCUGUGUGAAAGAACGAGUGUCAAGCUGUCCGUAUGAUACACACACCCUCACAACCUCACCGCUCAGCAGGGUACAAACAUUUUUGAUACAAGGGAUGCCCAACCUCGGCGUCUGCUUUACGCAAAGAAUUGAACAAGUGGCAAAGAAGACACACAACACGCAUAUCGGGACAAAUAAGAUUGUUCCAAAAAGUUACCUUUGUAUUCAAGAAGGGUUGCCAUUCCAAGGUGGUGCGUUAAAUAUCAGCUGAUCGUGAAAAGCAUUGCUGCCCAUCAAGUUACAUGAAUAGGAUUGUUUAGAAGUAUUUUACUCAUCCGUUUUCGUUAAUUGCAUGAUAUUGUCAAUGCAUUAAUUGAUAAAUACUCUUGCCUUCGGGACAUGUUUCUUUAUUGCCUUCGUAUGAAUAUCGUUGCAUGAAUUUUUAAGGACUUUUUGUUCCUAUCGCCGUGUAUGC